AAUCAACCAAGCGAAUAACAUGAGAUAUUGGAAUGCAAAGUAUGAAGCCAAGGACAUCUCUUUAUCAACUGCAAAGUAUGAAGCCAAGGACAUCUCAUUAUCAACUGCAUCUGAAGCUAAUUUGGACUUGCAAGAUGUUAUAGCAGUAGCUCGUUCCGCAUCCAGCCUUGCUCAACACCGUAUCAGCGAGCUUACCAAGAUGAGAAGCAAUGAACAUAC
rnacentral:lncRNA from 1 species